UGCUUGGAUGGCUCAGUUGGUAGAGCACUUGCCCGUGAAAGCAAAGGUCCCGAGUUCGAGUCUCGGUUCGGCAC